AUUUGGCAUGACAAGGAGUUGACAUGAUAGCACAAACAGAUCUGGGUCCAGGCUAGUAGUGGCCUAGAAUAUUGGUCAUAUUUGGUUGUUGCAACAGUAGUGGGUGAACCUAAUGGGUAACCGUGCCUGUCUCUCACCUUGCAGAGAUCCACCAGCGUGUUGGCCUGGUCAGCCAAUUUCCUCCUUUCCAUCUUCACAUCACGCAGCCUGGGGUGAACACACAGGAAGAUUUCUAACAUUCAGACAUAAUCACAGGACAGAUUUCAUCAAAUUAUUCCCAGGCACCUGCAACGAGCCAACUCAGCUGUGCGAUUGCCCUUCCUAUUUUGCCGAACUGCUUACCAUGAUCCCAAUCCUCUCAAGCUCUGUCCGGUUGGAAGGUGCACAGCUGCACAGCUAUUUUCAGGUCUCUCCAGAGAUGUUAGAUCGGAUUCAAGUCUGGGCUCUGGCUGGGCCACUCAAGGACAUUGUCUUGGCUGUGUGCUUAGUGUCGUUGUCCUGUUGGAAGGUGAACUUUCGCCCAAGUCUGAGGUCCUGAGCACUCUGGAGCAGGAUUUCAUGAUGAAGGAUCUCUGUACUUUGCUCCGUUCAUCUUUCCCUUCGAUCCUGACUAGUAGUCCCAAUCCCUGCUCCUGAAAAACAUCCCCACUGCAUGAUGCUGCCACCACCAUGCUUCACCGUAGGGAUGGUAUUGGGCAGGUGAUGAGCGGUGACUGGUUGCCUCCAGACGUGACGCUUAUCCCUUGGAUGUUCAUUUUCUCGACAUCUAAAGGCACAACCUAGAUUCGAGCCAAUGUCUUAAGUAGUUGAACAUGUUAUUACUCCAACCUCGUGAAAGUGACAAACUGACAUGUUUUCAUUUUUGUCAAAAGCAACUUUAGAUAUACUUUUAUAACCUUUGAUUUGAUGGCCUUUGUGAAAUAUAUUUUCCAUAACCACAAAUAUUGUAUUUUCAGCCGUUUGAAGCUGGUGUAUAAAACCAAAAGAAAUAGUGCACAUAGAACAGAUCUACCGCUUCUUAGACUUGCUUAGAAGGAGCAUGACAGAUCUAUAACUCACAUUUCUAUGUGAAUUUGGUCGGGUCGCCCAAAAAGUUACAAAUUGCAGCUUUACCUCAAAAUAAAGUUAUUUACCCAGUCAGAUAUAGUGUAGUGGCAAGGGGAAUUUAGUCAAUAAAUAGUUUGCUAUCCCUUUUCCUUUCUUUCUGUGCCACCAAAUGUAUUUAUUUAUUAGAAAUUUAGGAGGAUGAAAUCUCUUGAGAUGCAGCAUCUCGUUUUCAAGAAUGUCCGAAAUCAAAAAAACAAACAAACAAUACUUAGUAAGGAUGGAUCAAAAUUUACGGAAUGGUAGCUGGAGGGUCAUGCUUUUUCAAUUUCGGUCAAGGGGAAGGUUUAGUAUUUCAUCUAGUCCAGGGGAGGAUCAUGUCAUUUCUAAUUCAUGAAAAUUAGACAUUUCUCAGUGUUUUAGAAUUAGUUGCUUAUUAGGCUAUACAGUGCAUUCGGAGAGUAUUCAGACUCCUGGACUUUUUCCACAUUUUGUUACGUCACAGCCUUAUUCUAAAAUUAAUAAAAUAGUUUUUUCCCCCCACAUCAAUCUACACACAA